UACGUAGGGUGCAAGCGUUGUCCGGAAUUAUUGGGCGUAAAGAGCUCGUAGGCGGCUUGUCGCGUCGGCUGUGAAAACCUGGGGCUCAACCCCAGGCUUGCGGUCGAUACGGGCAGGCUAGAGUUCGGUAGGGGAGACUGGAAUUCCUGGUGUAGCGGUGAAAUGCGCAGAUAUCAGGAGGAACACCGGUGGCGAAGGCGGGUCUCUGGGCCGAUACUGACGCUGAGGAGCGAAAGCGUGGGGAGCGAACAGG
rnacentral:rRNA from 1 species